UACGAAGGGUGCAAGCGUUACUCGGAAUUACUGGGCGUAAAGCGUGCGUAGGUGGUUCGUUAAGUCUGAUGUGAAAGCCCUGGGCUCAACCUGGGAAUGGCAUUGGAUACUGGCGACCUAGAGUGCGGUAGAGGGUGGCGGAAUUCCCGGUGUAGCAGUGAAAUGCGUAGAUAUCGGGAGGAACAUCCGUGGCGAAGGCGGCCACCUGGACCAGCACUGACACUGAGGCACGAAUGCGUGGGGAGCAAACAGG
rnacentral:rRNA from 1 species